GACGAACGCUGGCGGCGUGCCUAAUACAUGCAAGUCGAACGCAGUGGGGACGGGUGAGUAACACGUGGGUAACCUCGCAUCAGAGGGGAUAAAACUUGGAAACAGGUGCUAAACCGAUACUGAUGGAUGAACCCGCGGUGCAUUAGCUAGUUGGUGAGGUAACGGCGCACCAAGGCCACGAUGCAUAGCCGGCCUGAGAGGGUGAUCAGCCACACGGGGACUGAGACACGGCCCAGACUCCUACGGGAGGCAGCAGUGGGGAAUCUUGGGCAAUGGACGAAAGUCUGAUGGAGCCACGCCGCGUGAGUGAAGAAGGUUUUCGGAUCGUAAAACUCUGUUGUUAGAGAAGCGGUAUCUAACCAGAAAGCCACGGCUAACUACGUGCCAGCAGCCGCGGUAAUAC
rnacentral:rRNA from 1 species